CCUUGAAUUUCGUACGUACGCUGAAGCAAAAUUUUACGUACAAUCCUGUUCGUAAACCGAUUUGUAUGUGAACGGGGUUGUUCGUAUGUCGAGGUGCUACUGUAUAAGGUAUGAGUU